rnacentral:rRNA from 1 species
UACGUAGGGGGCAAGCGUUGUCCGGAUUUAUUGGGCGUAAAGAGCGUGUAGGCGGCUAGAUAGGUCCGUUGUGAAAACUCGAGGCUCAACCUCGAGACGUCGAUGGAAACCAUCUGGCUAGAGUCCGGAAGAGGAGAGUGGAAUUCCUGGUGUAGCGGUGAAAUGCGCAGAUAUCAGGAAGAACACCCGUGGCGAAGGCGGCUCUCUGGUACGUGACUGACGCUGAGACGCGAAAGCGUGGGAGCAAACAGG